UACGUAGGGCGCAAGCGUUGUCCGGAAUUAUUGGGCGUAAAGAGCUCGUAGGCGGCCAGUUGCGUCUGCUGUGAAAUCCCGGGGCUCAACCCCGGGCGUGCAGUGGAUACGGGCUGGCUAGAGGCAGGCAGGGGAGAACGGAAUUCCCGGUGUAGCGGUGAAAUGCGCAGAUAUCAGGAGGAACACCGGCGGCGAAGGCGGGUCUCUGGGCCAUUACUGACGCUGAGGAGCGAAAGCGUGGGGAGCGAACAGG
rnacentral:rRNA from 1 species